UCUGCGGGCCGGGCCCCUCUGGCGACAUGGAUUUCCCCCUUGAUCCAGUCGCGAUGUCGGACCGCAUCG
rfam:Sphingobium sp. TCM1 TCM1_contig_7, whole genome shotgun sequence.